rnacentral:misc_RNA from 1 species
UCCGGUUUGACACCGGCAGUCUCCCUAGAGUGCCCGGCAUAACCCGCUGGUAACUAGGGACGAGGGUUGCGCUCGUUGCGGGACUUAACCCAACAUCUCACGACACGAGCUGACGACAGCCAUGCAGCACCUGUGCACGGACUCCGAAGAGGGGCCGAUGUUUCCACCGGCUUUCCCGUGCAUGUCAAGCCCAGGUAAGGUGGGGAUGACGUCGACGUCAUAACC